rnacentral:rRNA from 1 species
UACGUAGGGGGCAAGCGUUGUCCGGAAUUACUGGGCGUAAAGCGUGCGCAGGCGGUGAUGUAAGACAGAUGUGAAAUCCCCGGGCUCAACCUGGGAACUGCAUUUGUGACUGCAUCGCUGGAGUACGGCAGAGGGAGAUGGAAUUCCGCGUGUAGCAGUGAAAUGCGUAGAGAUGUGGAGGAAUACCGAUGGCGAAGGCAGCCCCCUGGGCCAAUACUGACGCUCAUGCACGAAAGCGUGGGGAGCAAACAGG